UACGAAGGGGGCUAGCGUUGCUCGGAAUCACUGGGCGUAAAGCGCACGUAGGCGGAUUGUUAAGUCAGGGGUGAAAUCCUGGAGCUCAACUCCAGAACUGCCUUUGAUACUGGCGAUCUUGAGUUCGGGAGAGGUGAGUGGAACUGCGAGUGUAGAGGUGAAAUUCGUAGAUAUUCGCAAGAACACCAGUGGCGAAGGCGGCCAACUGGUCCGAUACUGACGCUGAGGCGCGAAAGCGUGGAGAGCAAACAGGGA
rnacentral:rRNA from 1 species